rnacentral:rRNA from 1 species
GACGAACGCUGGCGGCGUGCUUAACACAUGCAAGUCGAACGGAAAGGCUCCAGCUUGCUGGAGUACUCGAGUGGCGAACGGGUGAGUAACACGUGGGUAAUCUGCCCUGCACUCUGGGAUAAGCCCGGGAAACUGGGUCUAAUACUGGAUAUGACCUUUCUCCUUAUGGGGUUUGGUGGAAAGUUUUUCGGUGCAGGAUGAGCCCGCGGCCUAUCAGCUUGUUGGUGGGGUGAUGGCCUACCAAGGCGACGACGGGUAGCCGGCCUGAGAGGGUGAUCGGCCACAUUGGGACUGAGAUACGGCCCAGACUCCUACGGGAGGCAGCAGUGGGGAAUAUUGCACAAUGGGCGGAAGCCUGAUGCAGCGACGCCGCGUGAGGGAUGACGGCCUUCGGGUUGUAAACCUCUUUCAGCAGGGACGAAGCGUAAGUGACGGUACCUGCAGAAGAAGCACCGGCUAACUACGUG